rnacentral:misc_RNA from 1 species
CAGGCUCGUUAAGCUGAAGCUCGAACUCGAGCUUUAGAGCCACUUUUCUAAUACCUGUAAGGCUGCAUCCUGUCACAAUAAUUUUUAGUUGUUAACAUUACUAAAUAGUCUUACUCUUACAAAAUAACUAAAAAGAAAAAUACUUACAACACAUUACAUCUAAUUUUUAAAAAGUUGGAAAUUACACCAUUUAAGCCUAGAAAGUUACAAAUACAACUAAAUACUUCAAUCAAACAAGUUGUCCUAAGAUAAGAUUAAAGCACUCAAAAUAUUAGAAGCUUGAAUUUGAAGAGGGAAACAAGCUCCAUUUUUGCAUCCUUGCAACCUUCAAAAUUUACAAGAUAUCAAUGUCACCAACAUCAAAAUAAGAUAUCAUAGCACAUUAACAAAAUAAAAAUUUAAACCAAAAAAGAAAAGUAUAUAAAAUUAUACCCAAAAAUUAAAUCCCCACUCAAUUAACCAGGCUCAAGAAGAACAGAAACAUAUAUAACUGCACAUUUUUACUAACAAAUUGAAAUUUGUCGAAUCACAACCCCCAUGACACAUUUUCUUUUUCCCUCUCUCUGUUCUAGCAAUACAUUCAGGCUACCACAUUACAUGAAUAAAGUUAUUCCUUAACAAAAGAAUAGCAAGUCAUAUAAAUAGAUGCAGCAGGGUAUGGCAAUUCAAUUAUGAACAUAAAUCCAAGGCACAGGUCUUGCACACAUUUUUACCUGGGUGAUUAAAAUUUUCAACUGCCAAUUCAAUUAUAGAACUUUCAAAAAAAACCCUCAAAAACCUAGAACCCAUUCCCGGUUGCUAAAGAAGCUACAACUUAAAAAAUAAAUUAAAUUCACUGUAAUUAUCAGCGAAAUAUCUAAAAAGGGGACAAAAUCUCACUCGUUUGACUCUAAUUACACCAGACUAGUUUGAUUUCUACCAUUAUAUCAAGAUGAAAAUAUCAAAUAUUUAACCUAAAUAUUAAAAUUCCUUCCUUUUUUUUAGAAAGAUCUGAACUUUAACUAGCAACAAAACAGAGAAUUAGGGUUUUCAAUUUUUUCAUUAUGUGAUACAAACCCAUAAAUCAUACAAGAAGAAUAGAAAAUCAAGAACCCAU